rnacentral:rRNA from 1 species
CUGAUGCAUGAUUGCCAUGCAGUCGUACGGUGUAGCCAGCUUGCUGGGUGGAUCAGUGGCGAACGGGUGAGUAACACGUGAGCAACCUGCCCCCUACUUCGGGAUAAGCCUUGGAAACGAGGUCUAAUACCGGAUAUGAACACUUGUCGCAUGGCGGGUGUUGGAAAGUUUUUCGGUGGGGGAUGGGCUCGCGGCCUAUCAGCUUGUUGGUGGGGUAAUGGCCUACCAAGGCGUCGACGGGUAGCCGGCCUGAGAGGGCGACCGGCCACACUGGGACUGAGACUUGGCCCAAACUCCUACUUGAGGCAGCUUUGGGGAAUAUUGCACAAUGGGCGAAAGCCUGAUGCACCGACGCCACGUGAGGGAUGACGGCCUUCGGGUUGUAAAACUCUUUCAGCAGGGAAGAAGCGAAAGUUGUGGUACCUGCAGAAGACCUCCGGCUAACUGGGUGCCAGCAACCCCGGUAAUACGUAUUUCGCAAGCGUGGGCCGGAAUUAUUGGGUGUAAAGAGCUCCGACGCGGUCUGUCGCGUCCGGUGUGAAAUGUCCUGGCUCCACUGUGGUCCUUUGACGUUUACGCGUAGACUAGAAUUCUCCAGGGGGCUUGU